rnacentral:rRNA from 1 species
CAGUCGCCGCGGGAAUACGAAGGGUGCAAGCGUUACUCGGAAUUACUGGGCGUAAAGCGUGCGUAGGUGGUUGUUUAAGUCCGUUGUGAAAGCCCUGGGCUCAACCUGGGAAUUGCAGUGGAUACUGGGCAACUAGAGUGUGGUAGAGGAUAGUGGAAUUUCCGGUGUAGCAGUGAAAUGCGUAGAGAUCGGAAGGAACAUCUGUGGCGAAGGCGACUAUCUGGGCCAACACUGACACUGAGGCACGAAAGCGUGGGGAGCAAACAGGAUUAGAUACCCCUGUAGUCCAUGUCUCUUAUAC